rnacentral:rRNA from 1 species
CCUACGGGAGGCAGCAGUGGGGGAUAUUGCACAAUGGGGGGAACCCUGAUGCAGCGACGCCGCGUGGGUGAAGGAGUGCUUCGGCAUGUAAAGCCCUAUCGGCAGGGCAGAAGCAAGACGGUACCUGACUAAGAAGCACCGGCUAACUACGUGACAGCAGGCGCGGUAAUACGUAGGGGGCGAGCGUUCUCCGGAUUCACUGGGUGGAAAGGGAGCGUAGACGGCCAUGCAAGCCAGGGGAGAAAGCCCGGGGCGCAACCACGGGCCUGCCCGUGGAACUGCAUGGCUGGGGUGCGGGAGGGGCAGGCGGAAUUCCUGGUGUAGCGGUGAAAUGCGUAGAUAUCAGGAGGAACACCGGCGGCGAAGGCGGCCUGCUGGACUGCGACUGACGUUGAGGCUCGAAAGCGUGGGGAGCGAACAGGAUUAGAUACCCCUGUAGUC